rnacentral:tRNA from 2 species
GCCCAGAUAGCUCAGUUGGUAGAGCACGUCCUUGGUAAGGACGAGGUCACCGGUUCGAGUCCGGCUCUGGGCUCCA